rnacentral:piRNA from 1 species
UGAAUGCAGUGUUGCCAGAAUGG